rnacentral:rRNA from 1 species
CGACUCUAGGUCAGGCGGGAUUACCCGUUGGGUUUAAGUAUAUCAAUAAAUGAAGGAAAAGAAACUUACAAAGAUUCUAUUAGUAACGUCGAGCAAAUCGGGAACAAUCUAUCCUUAGAGUCAGGCGGCUCCAUCAUCCAAAUUAUAGUCUGGAGAAUCAUCUUUAGAGGCAGACCGGGCCCAAGUCCCUUGGAAGGGGGCGCUAGAUAGGAUGAGAGCCCCAUUGUGCCCGGACCCUGUCACACCAUGAGGUGUUGUCUAUGAGUUGAGUUAUUUGGGAAUACAUCUAAAUCGGGCGGAGAACAAAGCAUUAUGAUGGUCCCAACGAAUGUUCACAUAAUGUGAUUUCAUCUCGGUGCUCUGAAUGUCAAAGUGAAGAAAUUCAACCAAGCACGGGUAAACGGCGGGAGAAACUAUGACUCUCUUAAGGUAGAUAAAUAACUCGUUAUCUAAUUAGUGAUGCGCAUGAAUGGAUUAAUGAGAUUCCCACCGUCCCUGUCUACUAUCCGACGAAACACAGCCAAGGGAACGGGCUUGGCAGAAUCAACGGGGAAAGAAGAUCAUGUUGAGCUUGACUCUAGUUCGACUUUGUGAAAUGACUUAAGAGGUGUAGUAUAAGUAGGAGCUGAUCUUUGGUGUAUUUAUAUGCCUAAGCACCAUAACGUACCCAUAUUUUAGCUAUGUUUUGAGAACAAAAGUGCCUAGUUUCUUAUAUUUACUCUACUUUGAUGUAAUUGAGCUAACGUAUGUGAUUAGUAUGAUUUCAGGUGUUAAUGAGGUAAAUCAAUACAUGAUGAGAUUGUGGAUUGCGGAUGACAAAUCACAAAAGAGGAAAAGUUGCUUGUUGGAUCAAAUGUUAUGUUUAGAAACUACGUUCAAGACUAAUGUGUCCGUUAUAAUUAGUUUGGGGACUUAGAAGGAAAUUAUGAGAGAAGAGAUUAUUAAAAGACUUGAUGCUGAAUUUUUAUUUCAUUAUUCCUUAUUUUGUAUUAGUUUUUGAAGAAGAGAAGGGCGGCUUAUCUUGAGAGGAAGGAGAAAAACAUUUUUCUCUUGUUUUCACUAUUAGCACAUCAAGAUCAUCUUCUAGCUUGGUAUGAUGAAUAUUUCUAUGAUAAUUUACGUUUUGUUCAUGAGUAGCUAAGUUCAUUGAUUAGGGUUAUGGAAACCUUGUAGCAUAUUAUUUAUUUUUAUGGGUUUUGAAUUCAUCAUGGAUUAAAUACUUAUA